UGCUCCAGGCUACGCGGUGGUGCGAUGGUGCUGCUUCUGCCGGCCUGACCGGGAUGGCCAUUGUCUCCGGCACCUCGGUGCGGUGGUAGGCUGCGGCUAGCCUUGCUCCCCUCCUUGGGCUCCUUCGACUACGCCGUCUCCCUCGACUACAUCAUCGGUCAGAUUCUGUGGAUGAUUCUGCUUUAAGUCAAGAGAUGGCGGAUUAUCUUCAAGGACCAGAUGCAAGCAACCGUGGGCUGGUUCUGGGAGCAUGUAUCGCUGAUCCUGUCGAAGAACUUCUUGCUACAAAGUGGCUGAUGCGUGGGGAUUGCUUCCCCGGUACCCCUGUCGCUAUUCCUGAUGAUCACAUCCCUUCCUCUCCAGUGGCGAAGAAGCCAGCCAUGUAGGGGACCUGGACCACUCCCACUUUGACCCUGGAGGCUGCUGCCCUCAUCUCCCGAGUCUAAGAAAGCUCUCUCUUCUGCAUUGUUUAGAGCUUCUAAAGCACCAUCCUGGACAAAUGGUAGGAUAAAAUCAUUUCUACAUCAUAACUGCAGGAAUCAAUCUGUUGAUGAGGUAUGUGCUGAACAACUGGUUCAGUAAUUUUUUUCUGUAUUGAUAUUAUUCACCUACUUGUUACAGUUUUUUAUAAGUAAUGUUCAUCUACUUUUCUUUCCAUAGUGGUUUUUAACUUCUUAACCCAGUAUAGAUUUAGAUUCUCAUAGUUAUUCUAUUGGACUCAGUACCUGACAGUUUAUCGAUCUUAAUGGGGAUGAUUCUGGUGUGCACUUGUUAAAUUCAGUCUUUCUACACUUAAGCAUAUUACCACUUGUCACGUCCACUUGUCGGGUGGGCAGAGAAAGUUGCUGGCAGAGUGCAUAAAAUGAUAACAUUUGUAGCAAAGUCACUCUAAAUCAGGGAUGGGGGAUGACUAUGUUACAUUAAAUUAACUACACAAAAUUGUGGUUAGAAGGAUUUUUUUUUAACUUUAACUUUGCUUGCCUCUACUUGUAAGAUGAAUGAAUAGGGAACAUUGGAAACAUUUAGGGUCGAAAAAAGAAUAAUGUAUACCCUAAUUCUUGUUUCCCUUUUGUUUUACUAUACAUUCGUAAUUGUUUAAUCUGCUCCAUCCUCUUCCCAAUAAAUACAUUUUCCCUCAUUUUCCAGUUCUUCUAAUUCAUUGUAGAUUAUACUUUUUGAAUCCUCACACAAAUAUAUUGAUUGUUUGUUCUUGAUUCACGGGCUUGGAGAAUGGCCUAUUUCGUUUCCAUCUUAUGUUUUUUCCAUUCAAUAAUAUCAGAGCAUGGUAUGCAACUGCAGGCCUCCUAAAGAUGGCCCAAUGGGCCGUAGGGAUGUCUGUUUGAACAGAAUGCUCAGUAUUGAAUGCGAAAAACGUAUUCUCGCUGUUCUCCUUUAGUGUACAUCUUAGACUGAAAUUUUGUUCCAUAUUAGUCUAUAUUUUAACUUUGUAAUCAACAACACAGAAAACGAAGCAGUCCUACUCUCUCUAUUGGAUGUCAUUGAUUUUAAUGCAGCUUGGAUUGGUUGAAAGUAGUAGCAUUAUAUGACUUGCUAAUUGGUCUUAAAAUCUGUAGAAUGUAGACUAAAAGAGAUUGGAGGGAGUACAGUCCAUGUGGGGAUCAAUGUUUUAAUCAACAAUUCAUUUUUAUGCCUUUUCUAUGUUCAAUGCAUGCUUUCUGUCUACAUUGGUUUUGAUCUUAUAAAAUACGGGGAACAGUCAAUACAGGCUAUUGAUUGCAAUUGCGAGAAGAAGUAUCCGAAGGAUGGUUCCUUAUUGAAUAUAGUGGUGAGGUACCAGUUCAGACUGCUUACGUUACGUCCUCUAUUUUCCCCUCUUUUCGUCUCUUCGUGGUGAUCGUAUUAUGGGAUAGGGGGUGCAUGACUGCAUGUGUGGUGUUUCUCCCACCUACGUUGGGUGCAUGACUGCAUGUCCUAUUCCUGUAGGUGGUAGUGGUACUCUCCCACAUAGUGGGUGUCUGGUGUUGCUGAUACCAUGGCGCUGAUCCCACAGAAGUGUUUUCAUUUGUAGAUGUCUUGCUAAUACCCUGUUUUAAUAAACUUAUUUGUGUUAGCUUUAGCUGUUUGUAAUGUUUAGGUUCAUGUUGAGGCUCAUUUUUACCACAUAUUUGAUUCUAGCAAAUGGAAAAUGAUUCAAAACAAUCAAUCCUUUCAUGCUGCCAUCAUACCAAUCAAUCCUUUCGAGUCCUGGCUUUCGCAAUUUAUCCUAAAAUUAUUGUUGCCCCCUCGGAGUCCUUGUAUAGGCACGUAUAGGCCUGUUGAGCCUGCCUCUGACUCUACACGUGUUGUCAUGUCCUACUAAUUAUUAGAGUUUUUGGAGAAGACUCCCAACAAAAUCGAUGAAUUGAGGGCUCCAAAUGUGAUUAUUAGAUCAACACCUAGCUCUGAUUUUGGGAGCAGCGUUGUACCUGAUUUCCAUGCUAAGAAGAAAAACAGUCUAAAACAUCAUAGAAAUGUAAAACCACCAUGUCGUACUGCCAAUGAGCAUACUCUGGGAGGUAAAACCUUGUUGCGAAAUGUGUCUUUUUUUGCCGCUUGACAUGAUAGUUUUAAUGAUUUCCGAUGUCUCACCUUAUCUGCAGUUAGAAGGGAGACUAAACUGUUCUGACUUGGACUGAAUAUUUGGACUUAAUAUCUUACAAAUGGCUUGUUAUGGUGACUUGCAGUAAUUAGUAUAUGCUAAAUUGAAAACAACAUACUCCCUCUGUUUCACUGUAUCUGUCCUCAGCCGCCAUGCACAUGGACCUAUAAAAUAAUCAACUAGGUUCAAAAUAAACCAUUGUUUCCCUGAUCAAAGUAAGGGAACAUAUUCAAUCUACAUGCUACUUCGCUGCACAUUUACUAUACCAACUUCAGUACAUGCAUAGAUUCAUCUUAACUGGUUCUUCAUGCAGAUGAAAUCAUCAAUUCUUCAUGCAUUCUUUUGCGCUAUAGUAGUGCAGUAUUAAACGAAUUUUGUCUGGCACUUUAAGUAGCCUCAUAGGUGCAGAUGUGCUGUAGACCAAAUGCCCCUUUUGCAUGGAACAUGGCUUCUUGAAGUGGGAGAUGAUUGGAAACACAAAUAGUCGGCUAUUGUUAGGGGUAUAAGAGGGAAAAUGAUACAGUACCAAAAUACUCGCUCCGUCUCAUGAAAGUUGUCUUAGAUUUGUCAAAAUUUGGAUGUAUCUAGACACUAUUCAGUAUGUAGAUACAUCUAAAUUUAAAUCUCAGACAAGUUUCAUCAGACGGAGGGAGUACAUGGUUUUAAUGCAUGGACAGAUAUAUUGAAACAGAGUUUCCCAGGGCAAUAUUUUUCUUCUAUAUUAAUGUAUAUACAUAAAGCACUCCUGUACAGUCCUGGAAGAAAAAGUUCCCCGAGACCGAGGACACAUAGUGGAACAUAGGGAAUAGUUAGACAUGCUGCAGUUUGACGAAAGCUGGGAAGGUGCUAACAUGUCUUCAGUACAAAAGCUGAAGUACAGACUGUGUAAAACAGUACUUAUGAUUGUUUGAUCUUAGGAUUCUUUAACCUUCUUAGGUUCUAAAUGCUUCUUCAUUGCUUGAACUUGAAAGGCUCUACCUUUUAUAGUACACAUAUUUGUUCUAGGAUUGUAAAACAUUACUUAUACAUGGCAAGGCAUUGUUUGGACUUGAAAAAGGCUCUACCUUUUAUAGUGCAAAUAUUUGUUUCUGUUAUAUGGUUAUGCCCUUGUCAACGUGUUAUAACUAGUGAUCCAAACAAUGUAUAUUUUUAAACCGGAUUCAACAAAUGAAUAUUUGAGAUUUCUGCUUAUGACCAAAGCCAAAAGUGUUGCGGUGGAACAUCUAAAAGGUUGGUUAGCAGUUGCCAAUUGGCGUGCCUAGCACAUUUGUAUAAGGGAUCUUGCAUUGAUCCAUGAAGCACUUCUACAAACAAAAUCACGAGCUCUCCUCUUGGAUACCAAUAACAUGAAUGGAUUGUAAAUGCUUCAUAAUGAUAUAAAGCAGAAUAGAGACCACUUCCUUCAAAGACGGAAGCUCUGAAGGUAUUGAAGUUUCUAGCUUUGAGGGGAAUCUUGUCAGCUGAAAAAAUAAAUGAGGACACUCUAUGUGCUGGAAUGGGAAGGUUGACCAAGGGUAGAUGCAUGACUAGGCUGGCUGCAUGCAUGUCAUGAAGUAUCCUGACAUGAGCAACAGAAGCGUGUCCUUCAGGUUUCCUUAACAAGGAUUGAGCAAACUGCUUCUGAAUCUAUAUGCAUUCUUGUGAUAUUAUUCUUGGCCUAUUGAUAUUGCCAAUAAUGGCACAGGUUUUCGAUAGCUUUCACACAACUGUUAUGUUAUUUUCAAAGCUUUUGCUUCGGAAGAUGUCUGACAUGAUUUGUACCUCUGCCUACUUGCACUUUGUGAAGCUUUGUUUGCAUAAAACUUAAUUACCUUUUUAUUGUUGCAGCUUCAGGGAGUCGAUGUUUGAAGUUGACCCGGUAUAGUGACAAACAUGUGAUGGAUGAGGCGAGAGUUUGUUCCGCCAGUGGGAUCGACGCUGGACGGAGCAGCAGAUUAUCGUGGUGUUGGUGAAGGGGUGGAGUGAUGCGGCCCUGAUUCAGCGGCAGCAGGCCGGGCUCGUGCCCUGAUUACGGAGCAAGUUUUUGUGGAGGGUAGGCGAAGAGGGCGCGCGGUCACGGGUGGCAUUCGAGGAGGACGGCCUAGAUCAUGGUGAAUUAUGUUUGAUAGCGUGCCUGAUGUAGUCAGGGUAUCCUCUAUGCAGUUUUGAUCAUUCCAACUGGAUGACUGGAUGUACGUGGCAUGA